GAUAAACGCUGGCGGCGCACAUAAGACAUGCAAGUCGAACGGACUUAACUCUUGCUUGCAAGAGAGCGGUUAGUGGCGGACUGGUGAGUAACACGUAAGAAAUCUGCCUAUCAGAGGGGAAUAACAGUGAGAAAUCAUUGCUAAUACCGCAUAUGCCAUAGGAAUCGCAUGAUUCUAGUGGGAAAGGAGCAAUCCGCUGAUAGAUGAGCUUGCGUCUGAUUAGCUAGUUGGUGGGGUAACGGCCUACCAAGGCAACGAUCAGUAGCCGGACUGAGAGGUUGAACGGCCACAUUGGGACUGAGAUACGGCCCAG
rnacentral:rRNA from 1 species